UUUAAUCCAUAAGGACUUUCCAAUUGUUUUAUGGGUUUGUUUAUUGCAGCAGUAUUAUAAUUUUCAGUCAGUAGUACAUUUUCAUACAUUUUUUAUCAAAAAUUACCGCUUUCUCUUUAACUUUGAUCGAUUUGAUCCACGCUCGACCUCUAGGGCUGCCCAAGAAUAGCGUGCACGCGCAAUUAUCUUGACUAGGGAAAUCUGGAUCACAUUAGUUGGAUUGCGUAAGCUUCAUUUGCCUUUUUUGAAACCGCUUUAGCCUCGCCUCAUUUGUUAGGUUAAUUCAAGUCGAGUUUGUAACUUUAAUCCUCGCUUUUCCAAGCGAGUUUUAUGAAAUAGCCCUCUGGCUAAAUGACUGAGCUGAGCUCAAUGAAGCCAAAACAAGUGCGUCCAGGCUUAAUUGGUUGCACAAAGACCAAGCCAGGAUGAUCAGACACGGAUUCAUCAAGCCAGGUGAAACCAAUCCUGGAUAGGUGCGCGCUCACGGAUCACUCAACUAGACACCGCCACCGAUCACAGAUUCACCGAUUCACCAUGGCAACUAGCGGCGUUCUUUUCCCCGUCAGAGGCACAAAUCCAUACGAGGAGGUAAAAUACAUAAUUAAGAAGAAAGGCAACACAACCACAGUAAUAAAGCAAAGAGAAAAAGCAUGGCAAAGUAUUGCAGACCGCCUGAAUGCGUAAGUAGUGCACAAUUACACACUCACCGCUCUGCUGAAACAUCACAAUUACAAUUAAAAUAUUUAAUUUACAUCUCCAAAAACGAAAUUGUACUCUGAUAAUAAAACAGUUCAUUUUUUUAUAUGAGUGAAAUUGUGUAAAGUAACUCCAUCACACUGGAUAAGGCUUCAAUAAAUUAUUAUGAAAGCCUUACAUUAUUACUACGCUCAUUAUGUACUCUGCUUCUUAUGUUGUCCACCGUUGACUUUUUUCUGCUUUUAUUAAUGUAAAGCUGCUUUGAAACAAUUGUGAAAAGCGCUUUAUAAAUAAAAUUUAGUUGAAGAUGAGCUAUUAAUAAUAAUCAAUUUAAUUUAUAAAGCGCCUUUCAAAGGAUCCAAGGCCACUUGCUCAUUGCACUGCAAAAAAUGACUUUCUUCGUGUUUUUGUCUUGCUUUCAGUAAAAAUAUCAAAAAAUUAAAUUAAGAUGUAUUAAAAAUUUUCUUGAAAUAUACUUUUUCAUAAACACUUAAUUUAAAACAAAUUUUCAUAUUCCAUUGGCUGAUUUUUUCCCUUAUUUUCCUAGGUCAUUUUGAAAAUGCAUCUUAAUUUAAGAAUUUUUUGAUAUUUUUACUGAAAAAAGGACAAAAUAAAAAGUAAGUCAUUUUUUGCAGUUUGACUCCAUUGAAUGUUCUUGUGAGAUAAAGAAAGUCUCUCUUUUUGUGUGUGGUGUGUGUGAUGUAGAUUAAACAUGAACGGGCCAAAACGGACAUGGCAGCAGUUCAAAAUCAAAUACAAGAACAUUCUGCAGAAUGCAGUGAAAAAGAAUACCCAGAGACAAGGCACGGGUGGUGGGUCACCAAAAGCUGACCUCAUCCCAGCAGAGGCCAGCUUUGGAGCUAAAUGGCAGGCCUGUUGGAGGGGAUCCCUGGGGGAAAAGAGACAAGCAUAGGUCCCUCACAAGAUGCCACCCGCUUCAUACAAGUGUCUGGCAGCACUGUGUUACUGUUAGAGCCACCAGCACGAGCACCAGACGAUGCUGAUCCAGUGAGUACUCCAUCAAAGGCAUACUGUAGGCCUGGCAUGUCUUGUCUACUAGCUUCAAUAUGAAUCAGAUUAAAUGUGAUAGGGUCAAGGCCCCAUUUCAUCAGCACAUAACGGCGAUGAUGAUUAGGAGACCAUCUCUCUGGAUUCCAGAAGGCAUAAGGACCCAGUGUCAUUGGUGCACUGGACUGCACACACAUAAGGAUAAAAGCCCCCUCAGAUUCUGCAGUCAUGGACUGAGCCAGGCCAUUUUGCCAGACCUCUGAAAUCUAUCAGUGCCUAUCACAAGGUGAAUUCUCUGGUGUGUUGUUGGGAGACAGGGGGUAUGGCUGCCAGCCUUUUUUCCUGACACCUUUCACAGACCCCCAGGAAGCACAACAGGCCUACAAUUAUGCCCAUGCCAGGACAAGGCCCAGAGUUGAAAUGACCUUUGGCCUCCUGAAGGCACGCUCUCACUGCCUUCACAAAUUUAGGGUCAGCCCUGUGAGGGCAUGUGACUUUACUGUGGCUUGUGCUGUCCUCCACAAUGUGGCCUGCCUGAGGAAGGAGAGGGCAUUUGUCCUGCAUUUAUUUCAGUGUGCAGACAUGCAGGGUGUGUUAUAUACAGACCUUUGAAUGUGUAUUUAUCCUUUGGUUGUAUAAUAUGCUUUGAUUCUGUGCUUUCCAUCUUGUAGAGUCACUGUGUGACUUCAGUUUCGAAAGGAGCUGAUGGUUUACCUGCUUUGUUUUGUCCUUAUUCAAUAAAGGAACAUAAUGUUA